UACGUAGGGUGCAAGCGUUGUCCGGAAUUAUUGGGCGUAAAGGAGCUCGUAGGCGGUCUGUCGCGUCUGCUGUGAAAACUCAGGGCUUAACCCUGAGCUUGCAGUGGGUACGGGCAGACUAGAGUGCGGUAGGGGAGACUGGAAUUCCUGGUGUAGCGGUGAAAUGCGCAGAUAGUCAGGAGGGAACACCGGUGGCGAAGGCGGGUCUCUGGGCCGUAAC
rnacentral:rRNA from 1 species